rnacentral:rRNA from 1 species
UGGGGAAUAUUGCACAAUGGGCGCAAGCCUGAUGCAGCCAUGCCGCGUGUGUGAAGAAGGCCUUCGGGUUGUAAAGCACUUUCAGCGGGGAGGAAGGCGUUAAGGUUAAUAACCUUGGCGAUUGACGUUACCCGCAGAAGAAGCACCGGCUAACUCCGUGCCAGCAGCCGCGGUAAUACGGAGGGUGCAAGCGUUAAUCGGAAUUACUGGGCGUAAAGCGCACGCAGGCGGUUGAUUGAGUCAGAUGUGAAAUCCCCGGGCUCAACCUGGGAACUGCAUCUGAUACUGGCAAGCUUGAGUCUCGUAGAGGGGGGUAGAAUUCCAGGUGUAGCGGUGAAAUGCGUAGAGAUCUGGAGGAAUACCGGUGGCGAAGGCGGCCCCCUGGACGAAGACUGACGCUCAGGUGCGAAAGCGUGGGGAGCAAACAGG